rnacentral:lncRNA from 1 species
UUCAACAUAACAAACCACUAAACCAGUACAUAUAUCAAUUACACUCUUAAUUCUAAUCACGAAACAUCAAGUCAAUCAAAAACAAAAGCUGCAAGAAGAGCAAAAGGUUAUCUUAUCAGGGCACCCCCCACACUCAGCGUCUGGGCAGCUGGGAUAUCCUAUAAAAAAGAAAAAUAACAAAAGCCCAACAUCAAAUUCAGCAAAAGAAAGUGAAAUAACGAAACACCCAACAUCAAUAUAGCAAAAAGGAAUGCAAAAUGACGAACACCCAAUAUCAAUUCUCCAAAAAGAAAGCAAAAUGAUGAAUACCCAACAUCAAAUUCAGCAAAAACAAUGAAUACCCAACACAACAAUUCAGCAAAAUGACUAACGUCCAACAUAAGUUCAGCAAAAUGACCAACACCCAACAUAAGUUCAAUAAAAUGAUCAACACCCAACAUCAAAUUCAGAAAAAUGACCAACACCCAACAUCAUUCAGCAAUAGCAACAAUACCCAACACAAUAAUUUAGCAAAAUGACCAAGACCCAAUAUCAAAUUCAGCAAAAUAACCAAUACCCAACAUCAAAUUCAGCAAAAAUAAAGCAAAAUGAUAAAUACUCAACAUGAAAAUCAGCAAAAACAACGAAUACCCAACACAACAAUUCAGCAAAAUGACCAACACCCAACAUAAGUUCAGCAAAAUGACCAACACCCGACGUGAAAUUCAGCAAAAAUAAAGCAAAACGAUGAAUACCAACAUCAAGUUCAGCAAAAAUAACGAAUACUCAACACAAUAAUUCAGCAAAAUAAACAACACCGGACAUAAUGAUUCAGAGAACAAAAUUGGAGAUCUACCUGAGAAGAAGGCAUUUUUUAGAGAAGUAAAACAACAUAAGAAUACCAGAUAAGAAGACCCACUAAAAUCUUACCACAGACCCACUAAAAUUUAUCACUUAUCACUAAAAUCGCAGAAGAGGCCAUCAUUUUUUCAAUCUCCGGCCAUGUUCUAAGGUUGUUAUAUAUCUCCGGCCAGGUGCUAUCGAGUAUUGAAUGAGAAAAAUGAUUGUCGAUGCUGGAGAGAAGAAAAAUGGCCGUCGAGGCCGAGAGAGCAGAAAAAUUAGGGUUUCCUAACCCUAGACCGAUAAUUUGACUUGUCCUAAAUUGAAGCUGGGAGAAACUUAUUUUAAUUUUUUUAAUAAAAA